GAUGAAGAACGUAGCGAAAUGCGAUAAGUAAUGUGAAUUGCAGAAUUCCGUGAAUCAUCGAAUCUUUGAACGCACAUUGCGCCCGCCAGUAUUCUGGCGGGCAUGCCUGUUCGAGCGUCAUUUCAACCAUCAAGCCCCAGGCUUGUGUUGGGGACCUGCGGCUGCCGCAGGCCCUGAAAACCAGUGGCGGGCUCGCUGUCACACCGGGCGUAGUAGAUUUUAUCUCGCUCAGGGCGUGCUGCGGGUUCCGGCCGUUAAAAAGCCUUUUUUACCCAAGGUUGACCUCGGAUCAGGUAGGAAGACCCGCUGAACUUAAGCAUAUCAAUAAGCGGAGGA
rnacentral:misc_RNA from 1 species